ensembl:lncRNA
CGAAUUUUGACUUUAUCCUGAAGAUCAUCAGGAGUCCUUGACAGGAGAUAGAGUAGAAAUUUAAAAGCAGCCUCUAAAUUUCAGAAACGGAACCCAUUGAUAAGAGUCCAUUUUAAAGAGGAAUCUUCAGGUUUGGGGCAUGAGGUCAUGCCUGUCACACAAUUUCUACCACUCUCCAGAGUAAUCAUGGGUGAUUUGGCACCUCCGGCUAACAGGUGUGUCAUAUCAGAGACUGCCACAGACACCCGGGGCAAUGAGAUUCGUCACUUAAAGAAGGAGGCUGCGGGAGAGCGCCCCAUCCACCGCUGCUGAGUCAUCCCACUCUGUUAGCUAUUUAAACAAGCCUCCAGCAGACACACAAUCAACACUGCACUCCGACAAUGUCCAGACCUCCAGAAAUCAUGGGUCCAGCUUGGAUUGCCCAAGACAACAAACAGUGGUGGAGCACCUGUUGUGGGUUCGGCACUGAGCUACAGGUAAGAGUUGGUUAAAGGAUAAACAAGACACAUUCCUUGCCUUUGGCGGCUCACAGUCCAGUGGAAGAGACAGUCACGUAACCAGGCAACCACGAUAUACGAAGUGAUGGUUCUAAGACAGGUGCUGCUGAUGAAAGUGCUACAGGAGUUGGUCUGACGUCUUUGGGAAGGACAAGACAGCAUGCCCACGGAGUUACCAUGUCCCAGUGCUGUUCUUUCCUCCUGAUGGAAAGGGUAUGUAUUCCGGAUGACCACUCUCAAGAUCUGAAUGUACACUGGUUCUGUUUUUCCUGAGGGCAACGUGGGCAGUCUGUAGGGUGGCAUUAACCAGAUGAGGCUUCAAGAGCACCCUUUCAUCAGGGACGCAACAGUAGAGUUGUAUUCAUUCAUUCGACAUAUUUUUGGAGCAUGUGCUUAUUGCCAUGUACUGUGCUGGGUAGGUGCGGAGCAUCCAGUGACAAGACUAUACGGCUCCUUACUCCACGGGGCUGCUGUUCUCCACUGUACGGAAAUUCCGCUCUCCCCUCUCAAGGCACAGGUUGUGCUUUGUACACCAUUAAAAGGAACAUCAACUAAAGGAAAACUGUUGUUUCCUCUCUACCCACAGAACACUUCUGACACCAGAUGUGUGGGGGUUUCUACACCAAGCAAUUCUCCAGUUCUCAGUGAACACUGACUGCGUAUUCUACAGUUUCACUCCAUUCCAAACCCAACUGCCCAGGGUUAGCACAGACCCCUCAGGUUAAGGGCUCAGUCUCACAGGAUUUCCCCAGACUUCAGAUGCUAAUUAUAAGACCCCAAUUGUCACCUAUAAUUCUGACCAACUGGCUAUAAAUUGAGCUUUCCCAUGACCCCCUCCUCAGGUUUGAUAAUUUGCUAGAAAGGCACACAGCACUCAGAAAAACACUUUACUUACAUUUACUGGUUUAUUGUAAAGGAUACAACUCAAGAACAGCCAGAUGGAAGUGACACAUAGGGCAAGGUUUGGGGGUGGGGGCAGGGAUUGGAGCCUCCCUCCCAGCACCUCAGUACGUUCGCUGCUCUGGAAGCUCUCCAGGCUCCAUAGUUCAGGGGUUUUAUGGAGACUCCGCUAUGCAGGCAUGAUUGACUAAACCACUGACCUAUAGUGAUUAAGCCCAUCUCCUGCCCCUCUCCCCUCCCUGGAGGUCAGGGGUGAGUCUGGAAGCUCCAACACUCUAAUUACAUGCUUGGAUCCUCUGGCAACCAGCGUCCGUCCUCCAAGAGUUGCCUCAUUAGCAUAAACUCUAGUAUGGUUAAAAGGGGCUUAUUAUGAAUAACAAGAGAUGCUCCUGUCACCCCUUUGUUCAAGAAAUUCCAAGGGUUUUAGGAGCUCUGUGCCAAGAACCAAGGAGGAAGACCAAAAUAUAUAUUUCUUAUUAUAUCACAACCAUGCAGUCUCAGCAUUCAGCGCUGGGCCUUGCAAAAAGCAGCCCCUCCAUACCUUUGUGAGUAGACACAGGAAAGCAGAAUGAAGGAAAGAGGGGUCAGCAACAAAAAAACAAACAACCCGGUUCAACAGUGGGCAGAGCAUCUGAACAGACAUCUUCCCAAAGAAGACAUACAGAUGGCCAACAGGCACCUGAAAAGAUGUUCAGCAUCACUAAUUAUUAGGGAAAUGUAAAUUAAAUAAAAAAUGAGAUCUCA